rnacentral:rRNA from 2 species
CCCAAUCGAAGUCUUACACAAUAUGAAGGCGGGCUGGAACCUCUCGGGGUUACAGCCUUGCUGAAUUAUUCACCCUUGUCUUUUGCGUACUUCUUGUUUCCUUGGUGGGUUCGCCCACCACUAGGACAAACAUAAACCUUUUGUAAUUGCAAUCAGCGUCAGUAACAAAUUAAUAAUUACAACUUUCAACAACGGAUCUCUUGGUUCUGGCAUCGAUGAAGAACGCAGCGAAAUGCGAUAAGUAGUGUGAAUUGCAGAAUUCAGUGAAUCAUCGAAUCUUUGAACGCACAUUGCGCCCUUUGGUAUUCCAAAGGGCAUGCCUGUUCGAGCGUCAUUUGUACCCUCAAGCUUUGCUUGGUGUUGGGCGUCUUGUCUCUAGCUUUGCUGGAGACUCGCCUUAAAGUAAUUGGCAGCCGGCCUACUGGUUUCGGAGCGCAGCACAAGUCGCACUCUCUAUCAGCAAAGGUCUAGCAUCCAUUAAGCCUUUUUUUCAACUUUUGACCUCGGAUCAGGUAGGGAUACCCGCUGAACUUAAGCAUAUCAAAAGGCCGGGAGGAA